UACGUAGGCAGCGAGCGUUGUUCGGAGUUACUGGGCGUAAAGGGUGUGUAGGCGGUUGUUUAAGUUUGGUGUGAAAUCUCCCGGCUCAACUGGGAGGGUGCGCCGAAUACUGAAUGACUUCGAGUGCGGGAGAGGUGAGUGGAAUUCCUGGUGUAGCGGUGAAAUGCGUAGAUAUCGGGAGGAACACCAGCGGCGAAGGCGGCACUCUGGGCUGGAACUGACGCUGAGGAGCGAAAGCGUGGGUAGCAAACAGG
rnacentral:rRNA from 1 species